UAGAGAAUGCUGCCGGGACUGACCCAUGUCUUUUCUGAAUCACCUCUGACAUAUGACCAGGAAUACAACAUGUUUAAGACCACAGAACAUCUGCAUAGGCUGUAAAUUUCGUUGAAUGAUGGAUGCAAAGAUGGAAGACAGAUGGAUAGAGGAAAAGACAGAAUCAGAUACUGGAUGAGUUAGUACUGCUGCCUGUGCUUCAGAGCUGUCUUAUUACCACAAGGCCGGCAAGCAUCAAUGUCCCCACAUCCCCCUCUGCCUCCCCCUGAAAUGUACCGAUUUAUAUGAAAAUUAAGAUUACAAAUUAAAGCCUGGCUAUCCUGGAGUUUUCCAGUUCAUCAGCCAUCCAAUAAAAAUGAUGUCAAGCCUGUAUGCAUAAUUCCCGGAAGAUUACUUUCGUCCUUACAGCUAAGCCCUGUCCCUGAUAUGAAAGAUCUCUAUCCACUUUUAUUGAAAUAAAGAACUAACAUCAUAAUCCCAAUAUUGAGGUAUAAUCUUCAUUAUCUCCUGACCCUCUUGAGGUUCCCCCAAUCUAUAUUACUUCAGAUUUGGUUUAUGUGUAAUCCUUAUGUAUUUACUUUUAUUGAGAUAGGAUUAAAAACUAAAAAAAAAGCUUCAAAAAAU
ensembl:lncRNA LINC01088 long intergenic non-protein coding RNA 1088